rnacentral:rRNA from 1 species
AAUCAUUAGUCUUUUAAUUGAAGGCUUGUAUGAAUGGUUGGACAAAAAGCAAGCUGUCUCAAUUAUAAUAAUUGAAAUUAACUUUUAAGUGAAAAGGCUUAAAUAAAUUAAGGGGACGAUAAGACCCUAUAAAGCUUGACAAUAAGUCAUUUAUAUUAUAAAUUAUUAGUAUAACUUGAUAUUAAGUGGUGUUUGUUGCGUUGGGGCGACGAGAAUAUAAAAGGUAACUGUUCUUAUAACAUUUAAUAACAGAAAUAUCUGGAAAUUUAAUGAUCCUUUUUUAAAGAUCAUAAGAUUAAGUUACUUUAGGGAUAACAGCGUAAUCCUCCUUGAGAGUCCAUAUCGACAGGAGGGGUUGCGACCUCGAUGUUGAAUUAAGGUAUCCUUACGAUGCAGCAGUUGUAAA